rnacentral:rRNA from 1 species
UGGGGAAUGUUGCACAAUGGGCGCAAGCCUGAUGCAGCCAUGCCGCGUGUAUGAAGAAGGCCUUCGGGUUGUAAAGUACUUUCAGCGAGGAGGAAGGCGGUAAGGUUAAUAACCUUAUCGAUUGACGUUACUCGCAGAAGAAGCACCGGCUAACUCCGUGCCAGCAGCCGCGGUAAUACGGAGGGUGCAAGCGUUAAUCGGAAUUACUGGGCGUAAAGCGCACGCAGGCGGUCUGUCAAGUCGGAUGUGAAAUCCCCGGGCUCAACCUGGGAACUGCAUUCGAAACUGGCAGGCUAGAGUCUUGUAGAGGGGGGUAGAAUUCCAGGUGUAGCGGUGAAAUGCGUAGAGAUCUGGAGGAAUACCGGUGGCGAAGGCGGCCCCCUGGACAAAGACUGACGCUCAGGUGCGAAAGCGUGGGGAGCAAACA